AUAUCCUUGUUUGCCAGCGAGUAAUGUCGGGAACUCCAGGGAGACUGCCGGUGAUAAACCGGAGGAAGGUGGGGACGACGUCAAGUCAUCAUGGCCCUUACGAGUAGGGCUACACACGUGCUACAAUGGCGCAUACAGAGGGCAGCAAGCUAGCGAUAGUGAGCGAAUCCCAAAAAGUGCGUCGUAGUCCGGAUUGGAGUCUGCAACUCGACUCCAUGAAGUCGGAAUCGCUAGUAAUCG
rnacentral:rRNA from 1 species